rnacentral:rRNA from 1 species
CGAAAGCCUGACGGAGCAAUACCGCGUGAGGGAGGAAGGCUCUUGGGUUGUAAACCUCAAAACUUAGGGAAGAAAAAAAUGACGGUACCUAAUUUAAGCAUCGGCUAACUCCGUGCCAGCAGCCGCGGUAAUACGGAGGAUGCAAGCGUUAUCCGGAAUUAUUGGGCGUAAAGCGUCCGUAGGUGGUUUUUCAAGUCUGCUGUUAAAGACUGGAGCUCAACUCCGGAAAGGCAGUGGAAACUGAGAAACUAGAGUUCGGUAGGGGUAGCGGGAAUUCCCAGUGUAGCGGUGAAAUGCGUAGAGAUUGGGAAGAACACCAGUGGCGAAGGCGCUCUACUGGACCGAAACUGACACUGAGGGACGAAAGCUAAGGUAGCG